CCGUAUGAAUGAAUGAAUUUUCUUCGUUGGUAAUAUGUCUCGGAAGAUAUUGAGGUGAAAUUAUAUCGGAUCACGGAGAAAAUAAAAUAUUUUAUAAAUGCGCUUUCAAGAAAAUUAUAUGAAAGUUUUAUUUGACAAUUUCAUGUACGGAAUUCAUCAUACACUAGAUGGAAUUCAAAAUAUUAUAAAAGAAAUACAUUCCAUUACUAUUUGGAACAUAUGAUAAUCACGCAAGUUUUACAAUUUUUAUUUAAGUUAGAAUACUGAUACUAAUGAUUUGCACUACAAAAUAAAUAAUAUUAAUAAUAAUAAUAAACUGACCUUCAAAGAUUGUUUGUUGAGCAACCUCUGUUUGAGAAGUGCCAGUUGAGGAGUCUUGCUCAACGCAUUCGGACACAGUAUAUUUCAUUUGGUCAGCUGGUCCCAUUUGUCCGGCCGUACAGUCAUCUGCAGAAGAUACCAACUUGGCACAAAGUCGCAAUGGUGUAAUCUGAUCUUUGUUUGUGGAUACCGUAGAAGGUGGUGGUGGAGCUGGGACCACGCCAUAAAACACUAUACCUGGGGGCACGGGACACCUGACAGGCACACGUUUCUUAUCAUCGGUUCCUGUGGAUUUUUGAUCAUUUAAGAAACAAUUCAACAGCAGUCUUUCUUAGGGAAAAAUUUGAUGAACAUGUUGCUGUACCGCUGUUAUUGCAGUAUCAGAUGAAAAAUACAUACAAAUCUGUACGAAAAAAUUAAGAGGACAAACGAUCGAGUCACAUGACAAGUGAUCUGCAGAGACGUACAUUCGGAAACUGCAGUCACAACAGAUACGAUCACCUGUACAAUUUGCGGUGAGAUUAAAAGGUACACACAAUUUUAGACGGGGAGAGCUUUCUUGAAGCAUAAGACCUGACGAAGAACCCGCACCCAUCACUCUUGUGCUGUAACAAUAAAUAUUUGUUGUACUUACUUUUCUCGUCGCAGUUUCCGCCGCCGGUUUUGGGACUGCCCAGCCACAAAUUAAACGAU